CGACUCCUGAAGUUGCUGGAGGGUCACUAAAGCUCAGAAAAAGGGUUUUGCACCUUCCUCACUUUCUCUCUCUAGGGUUUUUCUCUUUCUACAAAGAAAUCAAUGGUUUAAGCUUGAUUUCUUCUCCUUGCUUGAUGUUAGUUGAUUGGGAGUGCCUUGGAGCUGUUGUUGAAGGAAGAAGAAGGGGUUUUGAGGAGUGUUUCGCAUCCUUGAGCACAACAGUAGCUGGGUUGAUGCUUUGGAGAGCUGAAGUAGAGAAGGCUCUAGCCAUUGUAGAAUCAGAGGUUGGUGUUGGUUUUCAGCUCUAAUCCAGGUGAGAAGUUGAGCUGAAGCUUUGAGAAGCUUGGAAACUUAUUUUGAGCUGAGUAUAGAGACCCCUGGGAGCUGAUUUGGGUAUACUGUGACUUGUAGGAGGUGAAAUUCCAGCAGGGUUGCAGCUAGUGUGAGACCUUUUGGCUGAGAUUUUGAGGCUUACUAAGAGUUAGAUUGAAUGUAUUCUAACCUUAAGUAAAGAAGAUUCAACCUGGGUUCAAUCUUAAAUGGGAGUCUUGCCUAACUAGGGUACUUGGAGUCCUGUAGAUAUCCUCAUUCUCGGAGUUGACAAGAGGCGUUAACUGUUUGAGCCAUCCACUACGGGAGAGGCUAGGGAUCGCGGCAAGGGAGUCGUGUCUAGCUAGGCGUAGCGUGGAGUCCUACUAGGUGAUCAUUCCGCUACUAUGAUUUUGGGGUCGACGAGGGUGAUGUGUACCACUGUAUAGAGAGACUACGUACCCUUUGUAUAUAGUUUUGUGUGACACUGUGAUGUAUAUCAGUUGUAAAGAGUUGUACUUUACAGUUUUAUGCUUCUACUUUCUGUUGUUUAGUGGAGUUGUAUCAUUUAUCUGCUAGCUGUUAGUACCUUUUAUAUGUCCUAUGCUCUGAUAU